rnacentral:rRNA from 1 species
AUGGGGGAGCGCGGCGGGGGGCGAUUCGGAGGGUGGCGGGACAAUAUGGCGCGGGGCGGAUUCGGCGGGGGGCGCAAGGCUCCGCUGCCAAAUCAGCCCCGCCAUAUGGUCUGGCAGCGCCCAGAUCCACCACCACCGGCGACCGGGAGCUCGAGAUCUGACGGUGGCGAGGCCGGAGACAGAUGGGAAGCUGCCGCGCGGGCCAUGAGUGGCGCGGCCAAGGAGAAGUCGACAGGGGCUAAGGAGCCAUCUCCGCAACCCCCGCCUCCACUUCCACCGGCUGGACAAGCUGCAACCAAAAUUAUCAAUGAGAUCUGCGUCAACUGCUCCCUCCCAGGUCACUUUGCUCCUCGCUGCCCUACUAUUCGUUGUGAGAAGUGCAACAAGCUAGGUCACAUGGCUCAACUAUGCCAAACUCUGAGGCCCUGGGAAUGCGUACCUCUCAUGUGCGGAUUCCAGUCUCCUGGUCAGGGUUUUUUCUAUAUUCCUGAUAUGUGCAUCACCAAGCAGAGUACAGAAAAAACUAACAAUGUAGUGAUCACUAUUGUGGAAGGGGUAGCAUCUGUGAAAGAGAUUGAGCAUGAAUUCAAUGCCAUCUUUGCAAAAAAACCUGGUAAGAAGAAAUGGCGCUGUACGGCUCGUCCCAUUGGCCCUAACAAGUUUGUGAUGCGCUUCCCUAAUGCUAGUGAGGUGGAGAGGGCUUGCUGUUAUGGGAAACGUAUGCCUUUGAUGGAAGGGGCUGUGGUGGUUUGUAUUACACCCUGGACGGCAUCUAUAGGGGCAAAAGGAAUAUUAGAAAAAGCGUGGGUGAGGGUUCGUAACAUUCCUAUAGAAAAAAGAUGUGCUGAACAUGCAGCUUAUGCUGGGGCUUUGGUGGGGAUAACACUUGAGGUUGAUGAAUCUACAAUUCAUAAACCUGAGUAUGUCAGGAUCCUGCUGGGGUGCAGAGAGGUGGAAAGAAUUCCCCCCUCGGCCGAAGGAAUGCUUGGGGAGCAAUAUUAUGAUUUCUUUUAUGAAGUUGAGAAAACUGUAACAUCAGGGGCUAGCAAGGCCCAGUCCUCUAUUGCAGUUGACAGCAGUGCAUCUCCUUCCUUCCCCAAGAAAGCCAGGAUGGGAUCUUAUCCUGCUGAUUCUAUGGGGCAGGGGGAAACAAGUGCUUCCAUGGUUGGUACAUAUUCAUCUCAAAAUUAUGACAAAGGGGGGCAGAGGUUGGCUGUAGUGGCUGAAAGUGAAGAAGAAGAAGAAAGUGAUGAUGGUAAUCAUACAGAACUGCUUAUUGAAACCAUGGCUAGAGAGCAUGCUGAUGAGAAAAUGGUUCAUUGUGACCCUCUUAAUGGGGGCGUUGUUUGUGGAAAAAAUCAAGAGGAGAUGGGGAAAGAUGAGAUGGCUGGAGCUCUCACCCAUGAUGUCAGGGUUCAAAAAGGUGCUUGGGGAAUUUUGACUCCUAUUCCUCCUUCACCCCUCUAUCUCCAAUAUGAAGACACAACUUAUGGGGGUGUUAUCUCUCCUCUGGCAGAUUAUGUCACAUGGCCAUCCCUUCCUCAUAUUGUUCCUCUUGAGGAAGGAUCUAUGGAAGGGGGAGAGAACUACAGUUCUUACACAGUCGAGUCCCCAUCGGGGUCACCAAUUCAGGAUAAAAUGGUGGGGGAGGAAUAUGCACCACGGAGACAGAUGCAGAAGCUGGAAAAAAUAGAGGAGGUGGCCACCAACAGGAUGAGGAAGCGAGACGCAGAAGGUUUGCUCAAGGCAGAAGACAAGGUGAAGCUUAAGGAUGGCGUGAAGAGAUUGGCGCACGCAGCUGCUGUGCUGGCGGAUAGGCCCUUUCCUCGAGACAGGCUCCGGUUGGGCGACAGGGAUGGAAUCCAGAUUGGUUAG